rnacentral:rRNA from 1 species
UACGGAGGGUGCAAGCGUUAUCCGGAUUUACUGGGUUUAAAGGGUGCGUAGGUGGGUCUGUAAGUCAGUGUGAAAUCUCCGAGCUUAACUCGGAAACUGCCAUUGAUACUAUAGGUCUUGAAUUAUCUGGAGGUAAGCGGAAUAUGUCAUGUAGCGGUGAAAUGCUUAGAUAUGACAUAGAACACCAAUUGCGAAGGCAGCUUACUACGGAUAUAUUGACACUGAGGCACGAAAGCGUGGGGAUCAAACAGG